UAGAAUGCAGUAACCUCAGUAUGUACAUUGCAGUCAUUUAUGUGGGAUAGCAGAUGAAAGAGCCCAGGGAGAACCUGUCAGAUCCUAACCAUCACAAGAAUUCAGUGAUGCAAGGAAAAGGUAUGAAUGAUCAUCUCAGCAACAUUCCCAUUUUUACCCACUGAGAGGGAAGUGGCUGCCUAGUCUGUCCAGGCCAACCUGGGAGACUUGAGGAUACAAGUGACGUGGUUACCUGGAGAGAGGAAAACCAGGAGAGGAAUUGGGGUUUGUCAUACCCGUGAGUGCCAGAGAGAAGCCUCAGCUAUAAACCAGAAACUACGCCUACCUUUGCUCUUGGAUUGCUAACACCACCUGAGGAUGACGCUGCCAGUAGGAAGGCUCUGUGAAAUACAACAGACCCUUGCACCGGAACCAUCAUGCAGCCCCUGGAAUAAUAUCCAGAUUUUUCCUUUAAAACCUUAAGCCGGACUAAUAAAGUAAGGCAGUUUUUGAAGGUGUUAAUCUGUUGCCUUUUCACA